AAAUUAUGCAAUUAUUAUUCUCAAGCUAACCAAAAGCAUUUAGCUACGAUUGCCUGUUCUCGCCAUUUUCAGUUGAAUUAAUCAAAUUUUCUUUCAUGGCAACUCAUAUUUGUUUCAUAGUCGAUAUAUAAUCAUAUUUCAUGACAGUGUAACGGUUAGCUUUUUUACAGAAGGAUGAAAGAACACAAUAUGUCUGUCACGAAGAGUUAGGGAGUCUUUGCAGCGUGUAGAUGGUGCAGGUAUCAUUGCAUAUUUCCCAUCACACAAUGAACAACCACAAUAGCAGUCUGGUGUUAAGCUUUCUGUUCUGUAUUGACGUAUCCUGAAAAUGACAUCUGCUGCUUUAGAUUGAACGGUCAUUUCUCAGUUAUUGUUUUCAUAUCUACAAAAAAUAAGAUAUUUUCUUUACUUUCAGAGAGUGAGCUGAUCAAGGGGUCAAAAAUGUAGUUAUUGCCAGAUGUUCACUGUCUGAGGAACAGGCAGUGGAAGCUUUAUUGCUGGCAAAAGUGUCCAUAACCAGAGGUUAUAUCAGCUGCUUUGGUGAACCCCUCCCGCAUCUGAACUGGCUGACACAGAGGGCACAGCAUGUUCAUAAGUGAGAGGUCACUUGGUCGGGUCAACAGAAAGUAUUAUUAAAGAGAUGCUUUACUUUGAAAUACAGACAGAGAUGUAGUAGUCGCAGAGUUAAUGAUCCAAGGUCAGUUUUGCAUUUCACCUCCUGAUGAUUGUGAUGACUGACCAUGUUAGAAUAAAAAAAACAAGGCUUAAUCAUGCUCUCUCUCUAUCUAUCUGUCUCUCGUCUUACAGGUAUGUUUUGAUGUGAGAGAGGAAGCCAGUCCCGUCAUCGCUACCUCACCCGCUCUUAAGGUAACCUUCGGGCCAACUGGGGGCCCAAGGCUGGUUAGGAGACACCGCAAUUGUGAUGAACUGAGAGAAUAUUAGGGUAGCACUGUAAUUCAUUAAUCAUAUGCUGUCUGCCACUGUUCUUACCUCUUUACCUCUGUCUUCUACACCUCUCCCCCCACUUUCUUUCUUCCUCAUCUUAUUUAUAAUAUAAUAUUACACUUAUCAUAAUUACAAUUUAUGUAUUUAUAACACCUGGAUAAUGAACUUCUUUCAAGGAAGCGUUUCACAUUCUCCACUGUUUGAAAUUAAGUAUCUCAUUGAAAUACUAUCCUGUGUCCUCAAAUUAAUGCAGAUGAAGGGAGUUAGAUAUGCAUAGUUUUUUUCUGUGUAUAUGAAUUACAAGUCAGACUUUACUUAAAUCAUGAGUAUAGUCUAUUGCAU
ensembl:lncRNA